rnacentral:tRNA from 1 species
GGGGAUAUAGCUCAGUGGUAGAGUGUCCCUGGGUUCAAUCCCCAGUACUGCCA